rnacentral:rRNA from 1 species
GAUACAGGGUGACAGCCCCGUACACAAAAAUGCACAUGCUGUGAGCUCGAUGAGUAGGGCGGGACACGUGGUAUCCUGUCUGAAUAUGGGGGGACCAUCCUCCAAGGCUAAAUACUCCUGACUGACCGAUAGUGAACCAGUACCGUGAGGGAAAGGCGAAAAGAACCCCGGCGAGGGGAGUGAAAAAGAACCUGAAACCGUGUACGUACAAGCAGUGGGAGCACGCUUAGGCGUGUGACUGCGUACCUUUUGUAUAAUGGGUCAGCGACUUAUAUUCUGUAGCAAGGUUAACCGAAUAGGGGAGCCGAAGGGAAACCGAGUCUUAACUGGGCGUUAAGUUGCAGGGUAUAGACCCGAAACCCGGUGAUCUAGCCAUGGGCAGGUUGAAGGUUGGGUAACACUAACUGGAGGACCGAACCGACUAAUGUUGAAAAAUUAGCGGAUGACUUGUGGCUGGGGGUGAAAGGCCAAUCAAACCGGGAGAUAGCUGGUUCUCCCCGAAAGCUAUUUAGGUAGCGCCUCGUGAAUUCAUCUCCGGGGGUAGAGCACUGUUUCGGCAAGGGGGUCAUCCCGACUUACCAACCCGAUGCAAACUGCGAAUACCGGAGAAUGUUAUCACGGGAGACACACGGCGGGUGCUAACGUCCGUCGUGAAGAGGGAAACAACCCAGACCGCCAGCUAAGGUCCCAAAGUCAUGGUUAAGUGGGAAACGAUGUGGGAAGGCCCAGACAGCCAGGAUGUUGGCUUAGAAGCAGCCAUCAUUUAAAGAAAGCGUAAUAGCUCACUGGUCGAGUCGGCCUGCGCGGAAGAUGUAACGGGGCUAAACCAUGCACCGAAGCUGCGGCAGCGACACUAUGUGUUGUUGGGUAGGGGAGCGUUCUGUAAGCCUGUGAAGGUGUACUGUGAGGUAUGCUGGAGGUAUCAGAAGUGCGAAUGCUGACAUAAGUAACGAUAAAGCGGGUGAAAAGCCCGCUCGCCGGAAGACCAAGGGUUCCUGUCCAACGUUAAUCGGGGCAGGGUGAGUCGACCCCUA